rnacentral:rRNA from 1 species
GCGCUACGCGGUAUGCCUUACACAUGCAAGUCGAACGCGAAAGAGGGGCAACUCCUGUAGAGUGGCGAACGGGUGAGUAAUACAUCGGAACAUACCCGUACUGGGGGAUAACCAGUCGAAAGACUGGCUAAUACCGCACACACCUACGGGUGAAAGCGGGGGACCGCAAGGCCUCGCGCUAUUGGAUUGGCCGAUUCCGAUUAGCUAGUUGGCGGGGUAAAAGCCCACCAAGGCGACGAUCGGUCGCUGGUCUGAGAGGAUUAUCAGCCACACUGGGACUGAGACACGGCCCAGACUCCUACGGGAGGCAUCAGUGGGGAAUUUUGGACAAUGGGCGCAGCCUGAUCCAGCCAUGCCGCGUGUGUAAGAAUGCCUUCGGGUUGUAAAGCACUUUCGGCCGGACGAAUCGCUGUGUUAACACCCAGGGUGGAUACGGUACCGGAAGAAUAAGCACCGGCUAACUACGUGCCACACCUCGGUAAUACGUAGGUGCAGCGUUAAUCGAAUUACUGGGCGUAUAGCGCGCGCAGCG